rnacentral:rRNA from 1 species
AGUGAACGCUGGCGGCAGGCCUAACACAUGCAAGUCGAACGGCAGCACAUUAAGAGCUUGCUCUUACGGGUGGCGACUGGCGGACGGGUGAGGAAUACAUCGGCAUCUACUUUUUCGUGGGGGAUAACGUAGGGAAACUUACGCUAAUACCGCAUACGUCUUACGGGUGAAAGCAGGGUAUCUUCGUACCUUUCCCGAUUUCAUGAGCCGUUGUCGGAUUAGUUAGUUGGUGGGGUAACGGCCCACCAAGGCGACGAUCCGUAGCUGGUCUGAGAGGAUGAAGAGCCACUCGGGAACUGAGACACGGUCCAGACUCCUAGGGGAGGCAGAAGAGGGGAAUAUUGGAAAAGGGGCGAAAGCCUGAUCCAGCAAUACCGCGUGGGUGAAGAAGGCCUUCGGGUUGUAAAGCCCGUUUGUUGGGAAAGAAAAGCAGCAGGGUAAAAACCCGCUGUUGUGACGGUACCCAAAGAAUAAGCACCGGCUAACUUCGUG